CAGCCGCCGCGGUAAUACGAAGGGUGCAAGCGUUAAUCGGAAUUACCGGGCGUAAAGCGUGCGUAGGCGGUUUGUUAAGUCUGUUGUGAAAUCCCCGGGCUCAACCUGGGAAUGGCAGUGGAUACUGGCUCGCUAGAGUGUGUCAGAGGAUGGUGGAAUUCCCGGUGUAGCGGUGAAAUGCGUAGAGAUCGGGAGGAACAUCAGUGGCGAAGGCGGCCAUCUGGGACAACACUGACGCUGAGGCACGAAAGCGUGGGGAGCAAACAGGAUUAGAUACCCCAGUAGUCCCUGUCUCUUAUAC
rnacentral:rRNA from 1 species